rnacentral:rRNA from 1 species
AUUGAACGCUGGCGGCAGGCCUAACACAUGCAAGUCGAGCGGAUGAAGGGAGCUUGCUCCUGGAUUCAGCGGCGGACGGGUGAGUAAUGCCUAGGAAUCUGCCUGGUAGUGGGGGAUAACGUCCGGAAACGGGCGCUAAUACCGCAUACGUCCUGAGGGAGAAAGUGGGGGAUCUUCGGACCUCACGCUAUCAGAUGAGCCUAGGUCGGAUUAGCUAGUUGGUGGGGUAAAGGCCUACCAAGGCGACGAUCCGUAACUGGUCUGAGAGGAUGAUCAGUCACACUGGAACUGAGACACGGUCCAGACUCCUACGGGAGGCAGCAGUGGGGAAUAUUGGACAAUGGGCGAAAGCCUGAUCCAGCCAUGCCGCGUGUGUGAAGAAGGUCUUCGGAUUGUAAAGAACUUUAAGUUGGGAGGAAGGGAAGUAAGUUAAUACCUUGCUGUUUUGACGUUACCAACAGAAUAAGAACCGGCUAACUUCGUG